ensembl:lncRNA
GCUUCCCAUGGUAGAUGUUAGCCAUGGAAGAAUGCCCAGCAGAAAUAUUGCACUGACAUCAUUGUGGUCAUCAAUUCAAAAUUAUUUCACUACCUUCCUAGGAACAAAUGAAUGGCAAAAUUGACCAUAUCUCCGUUUUCCAUCUCUUCCAGAGUCUAUGUCCUGGGACAAAAAAGAAGACCAUGAUCAUCUCUGUGGGCAGCCAAAAGCAACAGUCACAACAAAAACAGCCAGAUGGGUAAAUAAAAGAACAACGGAUAAUUGCUGAGUGCUGACUGGAUGUCAGCCAUCGCUUUGUAAUGCUGUGCUAAGCCCUGAGACCAAGAUAAUCAGAAGACUGAGAAACUAAGGCUUUCCAGCCAAGCCAAACACAGGAGGUCUGAUAAGAAGACCCCUGGACUCAUCAUUUACUGGCUCUUCUUCGGUUCUUCCUUGGCUGAAAAGAAAAGUGAGAAGAAAAGCCUUCAGAGGACGAGAGGAUGAGAGGUGGUGGGGAUUUGCAGAGCCAAGUGGCCACCAUGAUAAGCAAGGCUGACAUCCAUGUGCCCUGGUCUAUUGGAGGAGCAGGCAGUCUGGCCCAUGCAUGUUUACAGCCCCUGGGCCUUUGCGUCCCUUCCUGGCUUGGAACAAGUCCUUCUGUUCCCAGUUCCACUUCAUCCUCCAGGAUCCCACUUAGACGUCACUAUUUUUGAGAAGCUUAACUGUGAGGCUGAACUGGGUGCCUUCAACCAAACUCCCACAGUACCAUGUGAAUGCGUGUGUACUAGUCCUUACCACGCUCUGCUCUCAUUGACUUGCCUGGACUCUCUACAGACUACAGGUUGGACUGAAGCUGGCAAACCACAGUACUCUGGACAAAGCAGUGUUCCCUUGUUGUGAUAGAUAGCACGGAACCAGAAACACUUCCAGUAUGAGGGUCUCUGGGGACGACGCAAGGGACCAGGAAACUGAAGUGGGAUGGUUCUUCACCCAGAAAGCAUGACAGCAGAUGCUAAGCUGGUUCUUCAAAAUGAGAAUAGAGGCUUGUGCUUCUCAGCAAAAUCCAGGCAGAAGAGAAGGUAUCACUCUUUGGCUGUCAGGAAAGCACCAGGCAG